GCCUGGGUGGCUCAGUCGGUUAAGCGUCUGACUUCAGCUCAGGUCAUGAUCUCGCAGUUUGUGAGUUCGAGCCCCGCGUCGGGCU
rnacentral:tRNA from 1 species